UUGACUGUUUUUNCAAAGACAUUGCCUUUUGGUUAAUAUAAAUGGUAAUUUCUGCCCACUGCAAAAAAGUAAAGGGCUGCAGUAUUUUGACUGUAUAAAGGUAGCAUAAUCAUUAGUUUUUUAAUUGGAAACUGGUAUGAAGGGGAAACAGGGAUGUAGUUUAUUUCUUAAGUUGGCUGAAUUUUAUUGUUUUGUGAAAAAUCAAAAAUUAUUCUAAGGGACAAGAAGACCCUACUAAGUUUUAUUAUUAAACAUUAAAAAUAUAAAGGAUAUAUGGUAAGUAAAUAUUAGUGUAAUUAAUGUUUAGUAAGUUUGCUGGGGCGGUAGAGUAUUAAACGUUUUUUAAGGAUUUAACUAGAUUUAUGACGGGAUAAAGAUCUAAUUUGAUUAAUUAUAUGGUUAAUUACUUUAGGGAUAACAGCGUUAUCAUUUUUGAAAGUUCAUAUUGACAAAAUGGUUUGCGACCUCGAUGUUGGAUUAGGAUAAACAUUGGUGCAGUAGUUAUUGGGAU
rnacentral:rRNA from 1 species